AACAUUCAUGCUUUCACAAUCGUUGCUGCAACUACUUCUACAGUUCUGCCUGCCUUUCCCACUAAUAAAUCUUCCCAUUUAUCCAUUUCCGAGUUCUUCUGUUCCUGCACCCUUCUUCCAUCGCCAUGUUCCACUUCCCCUUCCGCCUUCUCUCUCGUCGUCCAUACCAUCGCCGCCACCUUCAUUUGACCACCACACAACACCUCCAGCUACCACUCUCCUACCCCAUUUACCUCAUCUGGGGCUCUAACACCGCUGUUGGCAAAACCCUAGUCUCCGCCGGCAUCGCCUCCUCGCACCUUCUCUCUUCCCCUACCCUGUUACACUACAUUAAGCCCGUCCAAACUGGUUUCCCUGUCGACUCUGAUUCCCGCUUUGUUUUUAACAAAGUCUCUCAGCUCUUUCUCCGCCGCAACCCUUCAUUUUCUCUUUUUGCGUCCAAUUUAAUCAUCAAUGCCUCAGGCCCUGCUUCGAAUGCUGCGGGUGAGAUUGAGAGUUGUGGGAGGGAGAUGUCUGUGUUGGAUUGGCGUGAGGAAAAGAAGUUAGUGGGAGAGGGAAAUGGAUUUUCUGAGUUGAUUUGCAAGACAAUGUAUGCGUGGGAAGAAGCAGUGUCACCGCAUUUGGCUGCAGAGAGGGAGAGUGGAACCGUGAAGGAUUCGGUGGUGCUUGAAACAUUGCAUAGAUGUUUUACGGAUGUGUUGGAAGGUGGGGCUGGCAAGGAGAAAUCGGAAGUCUUAUGUGUAGUUGAGACUGCCGGUGGUGUGGCCAGUCCGGGUCCUUCUGGGUCACUCCAGUGUGACUUGUAUCGGCCAUUUCGUAUUCCCGCUAUUCUUGUUGGUGAUGGACAGCUAGGAGGUAUUUCUGGAACAAUUUCAGCAUAUGAAAGCUUGACACUUCGAGGCUAUGACGUUGUUGCCAUUAUUCUUGAAGAUCACGGCCUUCUAAAUGAGGUUUCGCUGACGUCCUAUACAAGAAACAAAGUUCCGGUGCUUUUGCUACCCCCGGUUCCAAAAGAUCCAUCAGAUGACCUUAUGGAAUGGUUUGAAGGUUCUCAUCAUUCAUUUAGUACUCUGAAGGAAAUAAUGCUUUCUGCUUAUUAUGAGAGAAUUAAGAAGUUGCACGGCAUGCCAAGAAAGGCUGGGAAUAUCUUCUGGUGGCCUUUCACUCAACACAAACUUGUACCAGAGGGAGGCAUAACCGUAAUUGAUUCACGUUGUGGCGAGAACUUUGCAGUCUUCAAGGGUCAGAACACAGAAGUCAUAGAACCUCUAUUUGAUGCAUGUGCUAGUUGGUGGACGCAAGGACCCAGUGCUACCUUGCAGACUGAGCUUGCAAGGGAUAUGGGAUAUACUGCUGCGAGAUUUGGGCAUGUAAUGUUUCCUGAGAAUGUUUAUGAACCAGCAUUAAAUUGUGCUGACCUUUUGCUUGAAGGUGCUGGGAAAGGUUGGGCUUCUCGAGUAUACUUUUCAGACAAUGGAUCAACAGCAAUUGAAAUUGCUCUCAAGAUGGCAUUUCGUAAAUUUUCUGUUGAUCAUGGACUCGUUCCAGAUGUUAAUGAUACCACAAAUGAGCGGCCUGUUGAGCUUAUGGUUCUUGCACUUAAGAGUUCUUAUCAUGGUGAUACAUUGGGUGCUAUGGAAGCACAAGCAGCAUCUUCUUAUACAGGCUUCCUGCAACAACCAUGGUACACUGGAAGAGGUCUUUUUCUGGACCCUCCUACUGUGUUCAUAUGCAACAGUACAUGGACUCUUUCCUUGCCAGAAGGGUUCAAUAGUGGAAGUCUUAAAGAUGAACAUAUCACCUUUCCUUCACGUGAUGAAAUCUUUUAUGAGGGCCGGGACAUGUCAGAACUUGCUCAAGUGUAUUCGUCUUACAUAUCAGAACUAUUUUCUAGAAAUAGAGGGUUGUGUAUUGGAGCAUUGAUCAUGGAACCAGUCAUACAAGCUGCCGGAGGAAUGCACAUGGUUGAUCCACUUUUUCAGCGUGUACUUGUUAAUGAGUGUCGGAAAAGAAAAGUUCCUAUCAUCUUUGAUGAAGUUUUUACUGGUUUCUGGCGUUUGGGAGUAGAGACUACUGUAGAGCUAAUUCAUUGCAUGCCAGAUAUUGCUUGCUUUGGGAAGCUGAUGACAGGUGGUGUCAUACCCUUGGCUGUCACUUUGGCAACUGAUACUGUGUUCGAUUCAUUUGUUGGAGACUCAAAGUUGACGGCUCUUUUGCAUGGCCAUUCUUACUCUGCUCAUGCUAUGGGGUGCAUGGCUGCAGCUAAAUCAAUCAAGUGGUUUAAAGACCCUUGUUCAAAUCCCAAUAUCACAUCUGAUGGAAGGUCAAUUAGAGAGUUAUGGGAUGCUAGAAUGGUUGAUCAGAUUUCGUCGCAUCCUGCUGUCCGAAGAGUAGUUGCAUUAGGAACUCUCUUUGCCUUGGAACUUAAAGCAGAAGGCCAAAAUGCUGGGUAUGGAUCAUUGUAUGCAAGAUCCCUUCUUCAGAACCUUCGGGAUGAUGGCAUUUACAUGAGGCCUCUGGGCAACGUCAUAUACCUCAUGUGUGGACCCUGCACGUCUCCCCAAACUUGCAAUGAGUUACUUGUCAAACUUCACCAGAGACUUGAAGAAUUUAUUCAAAACACCACAGAUCAAUAUUCUAAGUUGUGAACUUGUUAAUUUUGGUUUAGCCAGCCGCAAGUCGGAAGUAGGGCACUUCUGAUGCAGUACAUUCAAUGGAACUUGGUCUCGAUGCCAACCAGUUCGCUAACCACUCAGAACAGUUUUGCAAGGUCUCAGCUGAACGAACUUCACCACCCGGCUUUGGAUCGAAAUCCCACUCUGGCUAAAUACAUCUCAUACUUUGACAUAUUACUUCUGGUGAAGAGGUAAGUAGUUAGAAAUUUAAUUUGAUUCUAAAUAUUUUCUUAGUAGUACCUAAUAUUCUAAGUUUGAAAAUCGUUCUUGAGAAAAAUAUUUUAAAGACAAAAUUGUACCCAAAAAAUCUUUUAGAAUAACUGUCGAUUAAUUUAGGAUACUAAAUGUUAUAAAAAAAUACUUCCGAAUCACUCCAUGUGAAGUAGGAAAUACACUGGGGACUAAAUCCAUACAUUUUGAAGAUUAUUCUUCCCUUUACAAAAUAUGAAAGAUCUUUUUCAUUUGCAUCUUCCAUUCUCAAACGCUUAAGUAACAGCAGAUUCUAUCUCGCAGUCAAUUAUUGAGUGAGGAGCAUAUUCA